GACAGUCAUACAUGUAUAUAAUGAAAUCAUAAAAUAACAUGAAUCCUACAAAGUCCGGAAUAUUUAUACAAAUUUCUACGAAUUUAUACAAAUUUAUACGAAUUUCUACGAGUUUAUACAAAUUUCUACGAAUUUCUACGAAUUUCUAGCAAUAACCACAUGCGGUGCCUAGGUUGUGACGGCGGCGGUCAGGGUGGCGGAGGCGGGGACGGUUCCCUGGAACCACGGGCGGUGCCUAGGUUGUGACGGCGGCGGUCAGGGCGGCGGUACGGCGUAGGCGGGGACGGUUCCCCGGAACCACGGGCGGUGCCUACUAGGUAGUGACGGCGGCGGUCACGGCGGCGGGACGGCGGAGGGGACACAUAUACAAAAAUCUAACUUAAAAAAAUCUAACUUAAAAAUCUAACUUAAAAAUAUAACAUAAAAAUCUAACUUAACAAUCUAACUAAAAAAUCUAACUUAAAAAUAUAACUUAAUUUUCUAACUUAAAAAUCAUACUUAAAAAUCUAUCAUAA
rnacentral:lncRNA from 1 species